AUAACUAAUUAUACUGAAUGUACUUCAUAUCAAUGGGGAGUAAGAGCAGCUACUAAUUUAAGUUAUGGAUUUACUGAUUUUAACAAUGCAACUGAAACUUUCAUUUUCAAUUCAAAUGACACUUAUUGUCACUCUGCAAUCCCUGUUUCUUCACCGUCAACUGAUAUGCAUUUGAUACUUUUGGAAACAAUUACUUUAGGUCUAGCAUCAUCAAGUAAUAAGUAUCUCUCCUAUCAUUUUGUAUUUUUAUUAAUUUCUGGUUAUCAUAGUUAAACCUAGUUUUACCAUUAAAACUUCAACGGACUGCACAGCAGUUAUUAUCACUAGUACAGUAUACAACACAGUAACAGUAACUCCAUUGACUAAUGUCACAGUGACAGUAGCUCCAUCAACAGCAAGAUCAACAGUUAAUGUCAUUCCAAUUGUUAUUGGUACUACAGCAACUGUUGUGAUACUACUGAUAGUAGUAAUAAUACUACUCAUUUUCAUGAUACUUUUGAGCUAUAGGAGAUCUGAUAUAGCUAGAAAUAGAUGUACUUCAAAUCAGAAUGUCACUGUGCCACUUGAGGCCUGUCCUGCAUAUGAUGAUAUUUCAAGAAUGAAUACUGCAAACUGUGAAGCAUAUGGCAAAAGAGAUACAUUUAUAACUGCAGAAUAUGAAACUGUAAAUGUUAAUUAGCUAAUUUUUAAUUUAAUUGUCAAUAAUAAUUA